rnacentral:misc_RNA from 1 species
GGUGAUUUUAUAUAUUUUAUACAUGUUUCGAUCGUAAUUCCCUCGAAAUCGGUUAAGAUAACUCGGGCGAUGCUAAAACUAGUAUGUUCAUUAUGGUUACAAUUAGUACACCGUAAAGCUUUCGCUCUUCGGCCCGAGAUACAAGAUCUCGUUUCAAAAUUGAAAUAUGAAUAUUUCAUUGUGUGUGAGAUUGAAAAAUCUGCUUUCGCUGAUCUUUCAUUUUCUUAAAACAACGCAAUUAAGCGAAUGUUCACAAUCGCACAAUUUGAGUAAAAUGUGCAGAGUAUAGAAUACUAACGCAAGCGAUUACUACAAUCAAAUAUAUGAAACACUGGACAGUUAGUUGUCUAGUGCCCAAAGUAUUGAUUGAGCUUUGCGUUUGGGUAUUAUAUUCAAAAAGAACGCUGUAUUUCACAACGAACUUCGUCAUUCGCUCAAGCAUCUGGCGAUACCGAGCAGAUAUAUAUGGCAGUGCUCUCACACAAUGCUCAAGCACGCUAAGCGGUUGUAAACCGGGUCACGUUGCUUUAGCACACCGCGCAAUAUUUUGCGACUCGCUCCGGUCGAACGUUAAUGAAACGAACUAUCCAUCGUUGCGAGACGCUUUAAGAUUUUAUACGUCGUAGGUUAUACGACAUAUAGCACACGUUUCAUUCACAUAA